GAUGAACGCUGGCGGCGUGCUUAACACAUGCAAGUCGAACGGUGAAAGCGGAGCUUGCUCCGCUGGAUCAGUGGCGAACGGGUGAGUAACACGUGGGCAACCUGCCCCUCACUUCGGGAUAACUCCGGGAAACCGGGGCUAAUACCGGAUAUGACCUCCUUGGGCAUCCUUGGAGGUGGAAAGUUUUUCGGUGAGGGAUGGGCCCGCGGCCUAUCAGCUUGUUGGUGAGGUAGUGGCUCACCAAGGCGACGACGGGUAGCCGGCCUGAGAGGGCGACCGGCCACACUGGGACUGAGACACGGCCCAGACUCCUACGGGAGGCAGCAGUGGGGAAUAUUGCGCAAUGGGCGGAAGCCUGACGCAGCAACGCCGCGUGCGGGAUGACGGCCUUCGGGUUGUAAACCGCUUUCAGCAGGGAAGAAGCCGCAAGGUGACGGUACCUGCAGAAAAAGCACCGGCUAACUACGUGCCAGCCGCCGCCGUAA
rnacentral:rRNA from 1 species